rnacentral:rRNA from 1 species
UUCAGAGACUAAGCGAAAGUGAUAAGUUAGCCACCUGGGGAGUACGAACGCAAGUUUGAAACUCAAAGGAAUUGACGGGGGCCCGCACAAGCGGUGGAUUAUGUGGUUUAAUUCGAUGAUACGCGAGGAACCUUACCAAGGCUUAAAUGGGAAUUGAUCGGUUUAGAAAUAGACCUUCCUUCGGGCAAUUUUCAAGGUGCUGCAUGGUUGUCGUCAGCUCGUGCCGUGAGGUGUUAGGUUAAGUCCUGCAACGAGCGCAACCCCUGUCACUAGUUGCCAUCAUUAAGUUGGGGACUCUAGUGAGACUGCCUACGCAAGUAGAGAGGAAGGUGGGGAUGACGUCAAAUCAUCACGGCCCUUACGCCUUGGGCCACACACGUAAUACAAUGGCCGGUACAGAGGGCAGCUACACAGCGAUGUGAUGCAAAUCUCGAAAGCCGGUCUCAGUUCGGAUUGGAGUCUGCAACUCGACUCUAUGAAGCUGGAAUCGCUAGUAAUCGCGCAUCAGCCAUGGCGCGGUGAAUACGUUCCCGGGCCUUGUACACACCGCCCGUCAAGCCAUGGAAGUCUGGGGUACCUGAAGUCGGUGACCGUAAAAGGAGCUGCCUAGGGUAAAACAGGUAACUAGGGCUAAGUCGUAACAAGGUAGCCGUA